rnacentral:tRNA from 1 species
UGCGGGGUGGAGCAGCCCGGUAGCUCGUUGGGCUCAUAACCCAAAGGUCUCAGGUUCAAAUCCUGACCCCGCUACCA